rnacentral:rRNA from 1 species
UACGGAGGGUGCGAGCGUUGUCCGGAUUUAUUGGGUUUAAAGGGUGCGUAGGUGGCUUUAUAAGUCAGUGGUGAAAUACAGCCGCUUAACGGUUGAGGUGCCAUUGAUACUGUAGAGCUUGAAACAAUUGGAGGCUGCCGGAAUGGAUGGUGUAGCGGUGAAAUGCAUAGAUAUCAUCCAGAACACCGAUUGCGAAGGCAGGUGGCUACGUUUGAUUUGACACUGAGGCACGAAAGCAUGGGGAG